AGAUGAGUCUUCCCUGAUACUUUAAGUAUCCUAAAGGGUUGUUCGAGACUAGAACGUUGAUAGGCAGGGUGUGUAAGCGUUGUGAGGCGUUGAGCUAACCUGUACUAAUUGCCCGUGAGGCUUAACCAUACAACACCCAAGGGGUUUUGUA
rnacentral:rRNA from 1 species